GGUUAAGUUAGAAAGGGCGCACGGUGGAUGCCUUGGCACUAGGAGCCGAUGAAGGACGGGACGAACACCGAUAUGCUUCGGGGAGCUGUAAGCAAGCUUUGAUCCGGAGAUUUCCGAAUGGGGAAACCCACCACUCGUAAUGGAGUGGUAUCCAUAUCUGAAUACAUAGGAUAUGAGAAGGCAGACCCGGGGAACUGAAACAUCUAAGUACCCGGAGGAAGAGAAAGCAAAUGCGAUUCCCUGAGUAGCGGCGAGCGAAACGGGACCAGCCCAAACCAAGAGGCUUGCCUCUUGGGGUUGUAGGACACUCUGUACGGAGUUACAAAGGAACGAGGUAGAUGAAGAGGUCUGGAAAGGCCCGCCAUAGAAGGUAACAGCCCUGUAGUCAAAACUUCGUUCUCUCCUGAGUGGAUCCUGAGUACGGCGGAACACGUGAAAUUCCGUCGGAAUCCGGGAGGACCAUCUCCCAAGGCUAAAUACUCCCUAGUGACCGAUAGUGAACCAGUACCGUGAGGGAAAGGUGAAAAGCACCCCGGAAGGGGAGUGAAAGAGAUCCUGAAACCGUGUGCCUACAAGUAGUCAGAGCCCGUUAAUGGGUGAUGGCGUGCCUUUUGUAGAAUGAACCGGCGAGUUACGAUCCCGUGCAAGGUUAAGCAGAAGAUGCGGAGCCGCAGCGAAAGCGAGUCUGAAUAGGGCGAAUUGAGUACGUGGUCGUAGACCCGAAACCAGGUGAUCUACCCAUGUCCAGGGUGAAGUUCAGGUAACACUGAAUGGAGGCCCGAACCCACGCACGUUGAAAAGUGCGGGGAUGAGGUGUGGGUAGGGGUGAAAUGCCAAUCGAACCUGGAGAUAGCUGGUUCUCUCCGAAAUAGCUUUAGGGCUAGCCUCAAGGUAAGAGUCUCGGAGGUAGAGCACUGAUUGGACUAGGGGCCCCUACCGGGUUACCGAAUUCAGUCAAACUCCGAAUGCCGAUGACUUAUCCUUGGGAGUCAGACUGCGAGUGAUAAGAUCCGUAGUCGAAAGGGAAACAGCCCAGACCGCCAGCUAAGGUCCCAAAGUAUACGUUAAGUGGAAAAGGAUGUGGAGUUGCUUAGACAACCAGGAUGUUGGCUUAGAAGCAGCCACCAUUUAAAGAGUGCGUAAUAGCUCACUGGUCGAGUGACUCUGCGCCGAAAAUGUACCGGGGCUAAACGUAUCACCGAAGCUGCGGACUGUUCUUCGAACAGUGGUAGGAGAGCGUUCUAAGGGCUGUGAAGCAAGACCGGAAGGACUUGUGGAGCGCUUAGAAGUGAGAAUGCCGGUAUGAGUAGCGAAAGAGGGGUGAGAAUCCCCUCCACCGAAUGCCUAAGGUUUCCUGAGGAAGGCUCGUCCGCUCAGGGUUAGUCGGGACCUAAGCCGAGGCCGAAAGGCGUAGGCGAUGGAUAACAGGUUGAUAUUCCUGUACCACCUCCUCACCAUUUGAGCAAUGGGGGGACGCAGGAGGAUAGGGUAAGCGCGGUAUUGGAUAUCCGCGUCCAAGCAGUUAGGCUGGGAAAUAGGCAAAUCCGUUUCCCGUGAAGGCUGAGCUGUGAUGGCGAGCGAAUUAUAGUAGCGAAGUUCCUGAUUCCACACUGCCAAGAAAAGCCUCUAGCGAGGUGAGAGGUGCCCGUACCGCAAACCGACACAGGUAGGCGAGGAGAGAAUCCUAAGGUGAUCGAGAGAACUCUCGUUAAGGAACUCGGCAAAAUGACCCCGUAACUUCGGGAGAAGGGGUGCUCUGUUAGGGUGCAAGCCCGAGAGAGCCGCAGUGAAUAGGCCCAGGCGACUGUUUAGCAAAAACACAGGUCUCUGCGAAGCCGUAAGGCGAAGUAUAGGGGCUGACGCCUGCCCGGUGCUGGAAGGUUAAGAGGAGCGCUUAGCGUAAGCGAAGGUGCGAAUUGAAGCCCCAGUAAACGGCGGCCGUAACUAUAACGGUCCUAAGGUAGCGAAAUUCCUUGUCGGGUAAGUUCCGACCCGCACGAAAGGCGCAACGAUCUGGGCACUGUCUCAACGAGAGACUCGGUGAAAUUAUAGUACCUGUGAAGAUGCAGGUUACCCGCGACAGGACGGAAAGACCCCGUGGAGCUUUACUGCAGCCUGAUAUUGAAUGUUGGUACAGCUUGUACAGGAUAGGUAGGAGCCUUGGAAACCGGAGCGCCAGCUUCGGUGGAGGCAUCGGUGGGAUACUACCCUGGCUGUAUUGACCUUCUAACCCGCCGCCCUUAUCGGGCGGGGAGACAGUGUCAGGUGGGCAGUUUGACUGGGGCGGUCGCCUCCUAAAAGGUAACGGAGGCGCCCAAAGGUUCCCUCAGAAUGGUUGGAAAUCAUUCGCAGAGUGUAAAGGCACAAGGGAGCUUGACUGCGAGACCUACAAGUCGAGCAGGGACGAAAGUCGGGCUUAGUGAUCCGGUGGUUCCGCAUGGAAGGGCCAUCGCUCAACGGAUAAAAGCUACCCCGGGGAUAACAGGCUUAUCUCCCCCAAGAGUCCACAUCGACGGGGAGGUUUGGCACCUCGAUGUCGGCUCAUCGCAUCCUGGGGCUGUAGUCGGUCCCAAGGGUUGGGCUGUUCGCCCAUUAAAGCGGUACGCGAGCUGGGUUCAGAACGUCGUGAGACAGUUCGGUCCCUAUCCGUCGCGGGCGCAGGAAAUUUGAGAGGAGCUGUCCUUAGUACGAGAGGACCGGGAUGGACGCACCGCUGGUGUACCAGUUGUUCUGCCAAGGGCAUCGCUGGGUAGCUAUGUGCGGACGGGAUAAGUGCUGAAAGCAUCUAAGCAUGAAGCCCCCCUCAAGAUGAGAUUUCCCAUUCCGCAAGGAAGUAAGAUCCCUGAAAGAUGAUCAGGUUGAUAGGUCUGAGGUGGAAGUGUGGCGACACAUGGAGCUGACAGAUACUAAUCGAUCGAGGACUUAACCAA
rnacentral:rRNA from 1 species